GUAUUUAAGUGUAAUUUUGCUUGGCCAGCCCCCUCUUCUCAUUUUUUUGUUUCUGCUGCCGCCCCUAAACUUGUUUUCCUCUCUUCACUUUUUCCUUUGGCCGUUUUCUCCUCUCUUCCCCCUUCUCUUCUCUUUUCUCUUCUUCUUCUUCCUUUCUUUUCUUCUUAGCUGCCGUUUCUUGCACCCCUCUUGGGUUGUCGAUUCUUUUUUUUUCCCCGAAUAAUCAUUAAUCGUUCGGUUCGUUUGCACCAAUAGUUUUGUGCAUAUGCCUCUUUAUUCUAUUUUACACGGUUAUGAUCCUAACGGUAGAUUGAUCGAAUCCUGAUGGGAUCAGAGCAGAUCUGAAUCGUUGGAGUCCAUCGGAGGAGUGAAGUGCUGCAUGAGCGUAUGGGUGAAGGCUUCCUUUGGUUCACCGUUUAAAGUCAGUGAGUUGCACUUGGACUCCCAACUUCACUGGGAAGCUGUUUGGUUGAGUGUUUCAGUGCAACCAAAAUCAAUUCUCACCACACUGCUAUCCCAAAAAUCAACUGGAGCUUUCAGCAGUAAUUUGGCGGCCAAAUUUUGCUAUCUAUGUUGGAGUUUCAACACACUUUAAUCGGGUAAAGUAAGAAUUUCAAACAGAGCACCAACAGCAACGUAUUAUACCCGGGUAAAAUAUGAAGGAAAAAUGCUUGAAGUUCAAGCUUUUAGCUAAUGUCUAGAAUGGAGAACAGAACUUAGAAUUUUUAAAAGGCAAAGGAAGAAUAGAGCAUAUUGAAGAAAA